GUCAAGCAAGAUGUCAACAUCUCGUCCAACCCUCUUCCAGCAAAGCCAAAGCUGACCAAGGAUCUUCACCCUUUCAGAACAGGCUGUAUACAGGACGAGUUAUUCCAGUAGGAACAGGGCUAUAUAUAUGCAAGCAAUGCUCAAUUAAGAUGAAUUUUUGUAAAAGUGACAAUAGCCAGGUCAAACUAAAUACAUGUAUAGAAGAAGAUAUUGAUCUAGACUCGCAGCUAACCUUUCUGUCAGUGUCAACAACAACUGAACUUUCCCAGCAGUCAUCAUCAGAUUGGGAAACUUAUAAUGCUUCUAACAGAAACAAUUUCAACCAACCAAACAAGCAACAGAAACUUUCCAACUUUAAAACAUCAGUUAAAUCUUCCAUGGGAUGAUGUCUCAAAAAAUAACAGUUCAUCAUUUAUGGAGAUUUUAAUGUUAUGGUUUUUCUUUUACAAGAAAGUUAAUGUACACUUGUUUUAUAGUAAAACCUAUAGCCGUUCAAGUAUAAAAAAACACAUUCAACUUUAUUGAAAUUUGAAGAUUCAUAUGACUUAUUUUAAAUCUGUUAUCUCCCAGGAUGUGAUGUAGAGCAUUAUAGGUACAGUAAUCUUAACAGCUAUCCAAUUUCAUUCAAAAUUCUUUAUAAAUUUUGCACUGGUAUAUAUAGACUAAGUAAUUUGUUUUUCGUCUAGUUAUGGGAUUUUUUUAGGAGCAUUUAUGAUUUUCAUGUUUGUAUUGACCACAUUGCCGCAACAUAGAUAUAGGUACCUGGCAAAUCUUGCCUUGUUAGCAUACUAGGCUCAAAGGGUCAUAAAAAAAUUUCCAUCACUAAGUGUCUGUUAAAAUCAUCUGUUUACAGUUUUCACUUUUAAACCAUCAUCCUAAUAACUUUAGAAGAAGUGUCA